AAUCAUAUUUAACUUUUAUCGUUUGUUAAAAUUAAAUUUCCCUAACAUUGCAAAAGAUUGGGCCCUUGGAGGUAGACUCCCCUUACAUUAUCAGACGUACAAAUUCAGCGUAUCAAUUUGGGGUAACAAUGCGUAAGGGUUAAAGAAAUGAGCAUCUACGGCUACAAAGAAGUUAUUCACUGGAAUAAUGACAACAAUUUGGAGAGAAUACAAGAAUCUAGAAUAACUUUUUACAGACACUAGAAAACGAGCGUCGACGGAUUUCUCUUGGUUGACUACAAUGGAAUAGCGAAACGGGAAAACGCACGUUAAUAGUCGUCACCGGUAACACCUAGAUCUGAAUUCAACCCCUACAGCUCCAGAGAAACCAUCGAUUGGCUAGACAAAUAAACCGCUACAGCCAUCAAAAAUACCAAAAUGCUGAGGAACGUCAACAAAUCAAAACUGGCUUAGAAAAUCCUGUUUUACAUAUACCAGAACAUAUUGUCGUUGUAAUAUCCAGAUAAAGCAGCCAGCGCACCUGUUACAGCUAUGCCAAUAUUUCAAACAACAAUAUGUGCACUGUUUUCAACAUUUCAGGCAACAACAACCGAUACAUCGGCACUUACCAACACGCAUUUCUUUAAUGCAACCUUCUUUGAAUAUUUAUGUAAUAUAUUUCCCCUAAUUUAUUAAUUAAGACUCGUACAUUUUAUGUAUAUAAGAAGUUAACAUGCACAUACAAUAAUUAAUACCUAAAUCGGAUGAUAUUUAAAAAUAACAUAACGAAAAUCGUUUGUUUAAAAAUACUUAUCUAAGUACUAAAACGGAACAUUAUAUCCUCACUUUUACAGAAACCAGAGCCUGCUCCGGGCAUUCACAACAUUAGAAUAUGUAAACAUUAUGUGAUCAUUCUUUUAAUGUAUUGAUGUAUGUUUCUAUGUAUGAUUGGCGGAGCAAUCUCCUUUAAUAAAAGGGAAAGCGAGUAACUAAAGCGAGGUAGAGUCCGUUCCAAAAUUUUGUUUUCAAAUCUAACCCUAAAAGUUAUCCAAAAUUGACUUAAGCUGUAAUUUUGCUAUUCUUUAUAUGUCUCCUUAUGUCACAAGGCUAUUGUAAGAUAAAUAAUUUAAUUAAAAUUUUACAAAUUGAAGCUUUUUUUUAUAUAUCCGAGGAAAAUUUAAAAAGAUUGUUACCCCAGCCAGAAAUUUCAAUCUUCAAUGUUGGAUCCUUUUUUGAUUUAUUCAUCGUUUAUUAGGUUAACAUUUUCCUAACAAUGUGGAAGAUAAGGUGAUUCAAGGUGGGAUUUCUCAAAUAGUAUUAGAUAAUCUAAAAUGUGCCUAUAAUAACUUCAAGCGAGCGCACAAAAACGCGAAAAACUUGCAUGAAUCUAAAUUAAAAGUCUUAUCAUGAUGCCUAUUUUAAAAAGGUAUGGAACAUAGAAGAAAUGUUAUGUGUAUAUUGGACCCCCAUGCAAUUUUCUGUUUUGAUAAUCAUAUCCCUUUAGGCUAGUUUUGUUCUGCGGUAAAAUGAUUUAUAAAUUAAACCUUAAACGGGAUGACUUUUAAAAAUAACAUGACGAUAAUCGUUUGUUUAGAAAAUAGUCAAUUUGUUUUGUAUUCUUUUGUAUUUUUGAUAGAAAGUUUGAAAUUUAAAACUAAUAGGUGUCAGUCGAUCCCGACCUGCCUCAUCACAAGUAGCAAUGGAAGAUUGAUUUGUUCUCUGUCAAUCUCGAACGACUAAUACAAUCGACAUUUGUUUUUUGGAAUGAAGUAUAUACACAUUAUCAAUGAGUGCAUUAUUUUCUAAUAUAUUUCUACUCAAAGAAUUCUGAUCCCCAAAAUCACAGGGUGCCACAAACUUUUGAUAGUUUUCAUCCCACUUUGUAUUAGCGUGGUUACUACAAAUGACAAUGUCGAUUUCUAGUCAAAUGUUGAGUAUGUGUUAUUUGUUUUAUGUUGGUACAUUAUUGUGUCUGUUUGUAUGAAAUUAGAAGCAAGUAACAUA